UGGUUACUCAGGAAAAGAGUUUUAGCUCUGCCUUAAGACCCCGCCAACCACGACCACAAACAGACUUAAGAGUUACUCAAUUAAGGUACAGCUUAUUUGAAACAGGACACAACCUAAACAACAGGGUAAAUUCAACCUUUAUACCCCCAGUUGGCCUAAAAGCAGCCACCUCAAAAAGCGUCAAAGCUUAAUGUAAUCUUUCCCCCAAUCCCACCAACAAUCAUGAGCCCCCCACCCCUACUGAGAGACCCCAUAAAUUUAUGGUAAACACUAUGCUAGGACUAGUAACAAGAAUAAAACAUUCUCCGAAAUGUAACUGUAAGCCAGAAAGGACACCCCGCUGGCAAUUAACGAAAAUGAGUUAGUUACAACAAAGCACCAAGAAACCCUUGUAGCCCACCCCCGUCAACCUUACACUAGAACAUUACCGGAAAGAUUAACAGGAGGAAAAGGAACUCGGCAAAUCUCAACCCCGCCUGUUUACCAAAAACAUCGCCUCCUGACAAUCAUAGGAGGUCUAGCCUGCCCAGUGACAAAGUUCAACGGCCGCGGUACCCUAACCGUGCGAAGGUAGCAUAAUCACUUGUUCUUUAAAUAAGGACCUGUAUCAACGGCACCACGAGGGUUGCACUGUCUCCUCCCCCCAAUCAGUGAAACUGAUCUCCCCGUGAAAAAGCGGGGUUACAACUAUAAGACGAGAAGACCCCAUGGAGCUUCAAGCCAAACAGCAACUCAACUACACACUCCCCAGAACCGACAGAGACAUGCGUGCCGGCUUUAGGUUGGGGUGACCGCGGAGCAAAAACUACCCUCCACGACGUAAAGAACCUCUAUCUUUAUCCCAGAGCCACCGCUCUAAGAAUUAGUACACUAACGAACAAUGACCCGACUAUCGAUCAACGGACCAAGUUACCCUGGGGAUAACAGCGCAAUCUACUUCAAGAGCCCCUAUCGACAAGUAGGCUUACGACCUCGAUGUUGGAUCAGGGUACCCCAUUGGUGCAGCCACUUCUAACGGUUCGUUUGUUCAACGAUUAAAACCCU
rnacentral:rRNA from 1 species